AACCGAGUCUUAAUUGGGCGUUAAGUUGCAGGGUAUAGACCCGAAACCCGGUGAUCUAGCCAUGGGCAGGUUGAAGGUUGGGUAACACUAACUGGAGGACCGAACCGACUAAUGUUGAAAAAUUAGCGGAUGACCUGUGGCUGGGGGUGAAAGGCCAAUCAAACCGGGAGAUAGCUGGUUCUCCCCGAAAGCUAUUUAGGUAGCGCCUCGUGAAUUCAUCUCCGGGGGUAGAGCACUGUUUCGGCUAGGGGGCCAUCCCGGCUUACCAACCCGAUGCAAACUGCGAAUACCGGAGAAUGUUAUCACGGGAGACACACGGCGGGUGCUAACGUCCGUCGUGAAGAGGGAAACAACCCAGACCGCCAGCUAAGGUCCCAAAGUCAUGGUUAAGUGGGAAACGAUGUGGGAAGGCCCAGACAGCCAGGAUGUUGGCUUAGAAGCAGCCAUCAUUUAAAGAAAGCGUAAUAGCUCACUGGUCGAGUCGGCCUGCGCGGAAGAUGUAACGGGGCUAAACCAUGCACCGAAGCUGCGGCAGCGACACUGUGUGUUGUUGGGUAGGGGAGCGUUCUGUAAGCCUGUGAAGGUGUGUCGUGAGGCAUGCUGGAGGUAUCAGAAGUGCGAAUGCUGACAUAAGUAACGAUAAAGCGGGUGAAAAGCCCGCUCGCCGGAAGACCAAGGGUUCCUGUCCAACGUUAAUCGGGGCAGGGUGAGUCGACCCCUAAGGCGAGGCCGAAAGGCGUAGUCGAUGGGAAACGGGUUAAUAUUCCCGUACUUGGUGUUACUGCGAAGGGGGGACGGAGAAGGCUAUGUUGGCCGGGCGACGGUUGUCCCGGUUUAAGCGUGUAGGUGUGUGUUCCAGGUAAAUCCGGUUCACUUUAACACUGAGGCGUGACGACGAGGCACUACGGUGCUGAAGCAACAAAUGCCCUGCUUCCAGGAAAAGCCUCUAAGCAUCAGGUAACAUCAAAUCGUACCCCAAACCGACACAGGUGGUCAGGUAGAGAAUACCAAGGCGCUUGAGAGAACUCGGGUGAAGGAACUAGGCAAAAUGGUGCCGUAACUUCGGGAGAAGGCACGCUGACACGUAGGUGAAGUGAUUUACUCAUGGAGCUGAAGUCAGUCGAAGAUACCAGCUGGCUGCAACUGUUUAUUAAAAACACAGCACUGUGCAAACACGAAAGUGGACGUAUACGGUGUGACGCCUGCCCGGUGCCGGAAGGUUAAUUGAUGGGGUCAGCGCAAGCGAAGCUCCUGAUCGAAGCCCCGGUAAACGGCGGCCGUAACUAUAACGGUCCUAAGGUAGCGAAAUUCCUUGUCGGGUAAGUUCCGACCUGCACGAAUGGCGUAAUGAUGGCCAGGCUGUCUCCACCCGAGACUCAGUGAAAUUGAACUCGCUGUGAAGAUGCAGUGUACCCGCGGCAAGACGGAAAGACCCCGUGAACCUUUACUAUAGCUUGACACUGAACAUUGAGCCUUGAUGUGUAGGAUAGGUGGGAGGCUUUGAAGUGUGGACGCCAGUCUGCAUGGAGCCGACCUUGAAAUACCACCCUUUAAUGUUUGAUGUUCUAACGUGGACCCGUUACCCGGGUUGCGGACAGUGUCUGGUGGGUAGUUUGACUGGGGCGGUCUCCUCCUAAAGAGUAACGGAGGAGCACGAAGGUUGGCUAAUCCUGGUCGGACAUCAGGAGGUUAGUGCAAUGGCAUAAGCCAGCUUGACUGCGAGCGUGACGGCGCGAGCAGGUGCGAAAGCAGGUCAUAGUGAUCCGGUGGUUCUGAAUGGAAGGGCCAUCGCUCAACGGAUAAAAGGUACUCCGGGGAUAACAGGCUGAUACCGCCCAAGAGUUCAUAUCGACGGCGGUGUUUGGCACCUCGAUGUCGGCUCAUCACAUCCUGGGGCUGAAGUAGGUCCCAAGGGUAUGGCUGUUCGCCAUUUAAAGUGGUACGCGAGCUGGGUUUAGAACGUCGUGAGACAGUUCGGUCCCUAUCUGCCGUGGGCGCUGGAGAACUGAGGGGGGCUGCUCCUAGUACGAGAGGACCGGAGUGGACGCAUCACUGGUGUUCGGGUUGUCAUGCCAAUGGCACUGCCCGGUAGCUAAAUGCGGAAGAGAUAAGUGCUGAAAGCAUCUAAGCACGAAACUUGCCCCGAGAUGAGUUCUCCCUGAGACUUAAAGUCUCCUGAAGGAACGUUGAAGACGACGACGUUGAUAGGCCGGGUGUGUAAGCGCAGCGAUGCGUUGAGCUAACCGGUACUAAUGAACCGUGAGGCUUAACCUUACAACGCCGAAG
rnacentral:rRNA from 1 species